CGUGGCCUGCGGUGCCGUGC
rnacentral:miRNA from 1 species